rnacentral:ncRNA from 1 species
UCAUAAUGGUUCGGGGUAAACCCGAUGAAAAGAGAAGCGCGGUGAUGGAGUAUCCCGAGUCCGCCACGGUCCCGCCGCUGUGAAGCAGAGAGGAUGCCAGAAUGUCACUGGGAAACCGGGAAGACAGCACCCUUGAGGAAGCUGAGUCAGAAGAACUGCCUUAUGAAUA